rnacentral:rRNA from 1 species
UCCACCUACGGGACGCAGCAGUGGGGAAUAUUGGGCAAUGGGCGCAAGCCUGACCCAGCAACGCCGCGUGAAGGAAGAAGGCUCUCGGGUUGUAAACUUCUUUUAUGAGGGACGAAAGAAAUGACGGUACCUCAUGAAUAAGCCACGGCUAACUACGUGCCAGCAGCCGCGGUAAUACGUAGGUGGCAAGCGUUAUCCGGAUUUACUGGGUGUAAAGGGCGUGUAGGCGGGACUGCAAGUCAGAUGGGAAAAUUA